rnacentral:lncRNA from 1 species
UAUUACGUACAUGGGGGGACAUAUACUUGCCUCCCCAUGCCGCUAAAGUUACAUUUGCUUAAGAGCAAUAAAAACACAUCUAUUUCCAUAGCACGUUUAUUAAAUAAAAAAGACUGAUAACAUCACAUGACAAAUAUGCAUCAUCAUCAUACAAAGAGACACAACUCUCACGACUAAACUACAAAACACAUACGACCAUACAAUACAGAUACAUAACAUCCCGCCCCCAAAAAGAAAAUUUCCCAAAUUUUAUAAAUGGUGUAUGUGUUUUAUCCAUAUACAAUUUCAAGAAGAAGAAAAAUUGCACUAUAAAUUCAAACUAUAUAAUCACUUCCGUAUAAGACUAAAAUCAUUUUCCAAAUAAUCAUGUAAAUACAUUUAUAAUAACUGAAAUACUCGUGGCUGAACAGUUAUCACAACUAGCAUCCAUUGGCAUACACACCAGUAUCAACAAUGCAGAAAAAUCCGAACGUCUGGCAUCUCGAUCUCCCCCUUAGGACCUUAUGCACGCAUUACGUUCAUUCAACAUAACAAAAAAAAAUAUGCAUUUAAUACAUUUACUCAAUCUACUAAAUGGAAAAUACUAGAAUAUUGUCAUAAAUGUAGCUGUAUACAUCAAGUUGAUAGAUAAUCAUCAGAGACCUUUAACUCUUAAAAAUGGUAAAUAUUACAUCAAUGAAACACUUCAUAAGUAACAUAUAUGUCAGUAAAAAAAAAUAUGACUAUUUCUCCCUCUCUAACAUGUCCAAUCUCUCAUACUUCACGCUCACAAAAAUAAAAUAAAGAUGAAACAAAUGAAAAGCUCCAGAAAUGUCAAUAUCAACCUAGGUUUUAUUUAUGACUAUUAUCUCACCGCUACUGACAAUCCGCUAUCAAAUCAGUCCAACUGUUAACAGAAAUAUAUAUGUAUUAAUAAUAAGAAAAAAAAAUCCUUCAGACAAAAAUUGAAAUGAAUUCAUAAUUAAAGUCGGUGUUUUCCUUGUAACUGGGUAGCGUACGAUGAGAUAAAUCUCACACGUACCGUCUGUAGUAUCAUUUAAAUAGUUCAAAACUGCAACACAUUCUUCCUGCUAAAUACACAUUUAUAGGUCAAUCCGAUUAGUCUAAAGAUAAUGCCAAUUACUGAGCAAUUAUCAUUUCGAAGUACUGUAAGAUGAAAGGUCGGGACGUCACAUGACACAUGCUACAGUUUUCUGCACACAUAAACAUACACAGCUGUCUUUAUUGAUGUCCAUCUCUAACGCGGUUAAAAGUUUGUUUUCAUGUGUAGAAAUUCCAAUAACUAUUGCGUGUAACAGUUUAAAUGAAAAUUAAAGUUCAGGUGCAAUAAACAAUUGCAUAAUAAUUUCGAUAUGCA